UACGGGGGGGGGUAAGCGUUGUUCGGAAUUACUGGGCGUAAAGGGCUCGUAGGCGGCCAACUAAGUCAUACGUGAAAUCCCUCAGCUUAACUGGGGAACUGCGUGUGAUACUGGAUGGCUUGGAUUUGGGAGAGGGAUGCGGAAUUCCAGGUGUAGCGGUGAAAUGCGUAGAUAUCUGGAGGAACACCGGUGGCGAAGGCAGCCUCCUGGGCCAACACUGACGCUCAUGCACGAAAGCGUGGGGAGCAAACAGG
rnacentral:rRNA from 1 species